rnacentral:rRNA from 1 species
GACGAACGCUGGCGGCGUGCUUAACACAUGCAAGUCAAGGGGAAAGUCUCGCUUGCGAGAUGAGUAUACUGGCGGACGGGUGAGUAACGCGUAGGCAACCUGCCCUUGUGAUAGGGAUAACCUCGGGAAACUGGGGCUAAUACCUAAUAACAUUUACGAGUUGCAUGACUUGUAAAUCAAAGGUGUCGCAAGUUAUCGCACAGGGAUGGGCCUGCGUUCCAUUAGCACUAGUUGGUAAGGUAACGGCUUACCAAAGCGACGAUGGAUAGCUGAUCUGAGAGGGUGAUCAGCCACACUGGGACUGAGAUACGGCCCAGACUCCUACGGGAGGCAGCAGUGAGGAAUAUUGCGCAAUGGACGAAAGUCUGACGCAGCAACGCCGCGUGGGGGAUGAAGCACUAUGGUGUGUAAACCUCUGUAGACAGGGAAGAACAGUUGUAGUUCGCAAGGGCUAUGAUAUGACGGUACCUGUAAAGUAAGCUCCGGCUAACUCCGUGCCAGCAGCCGCGGUAAUACGGGGGGAGCAAGCGUUGUCCGGAAUUACUGGGCGUAAAGGGCGUGUAGGUGGAAUUGUAAGUCAGAUGUGAAAGGCUGCGGCUUAACCGUAGAAAUGCAUUUGAAACUGCGAUUCUUGAGUUCGAGAGAGGGUAGUGGAAUUCCCAGUGUAGCGGUGAAAUGCGUAGAUAUUGGGAAGAACACCAGUAGCGAAGGCGGCUACCUGGCUCGAUACUGACACUAAUGCGCGAAAGCGUGGGGAUCAAACAGGAUUAGAUACCCUGGUAGUCCACGCUGUAAACGAUGGGCACUAGGUGUUGGUUCCGCUUGCGGAAUCGGCGCCGCAGCAAACGCAUUAAGUGCCCCGCCUGGGGAGUACGAUCGCGAGGUUGAAACUCAAAGGAAUUGACGG